AUUGUGCAAAGGGUCGUGAUCAUGCGAGGGUGAGCUAACCCCAAAAACCUGUGCUCAGUUUAGAAUGCAGGCUGCAACUCCUUGCAUGAAGCCGGAAUCGCUAACCCCAAAAACCCGUGCUCAGUUUAGAAUGCAGGCUGCAACUCCCUUGCAUGAAGCCGGAAUCGCUAUUAAUUGCUGGUCAGCCAUACGGCGCUGAAUUUGUUCACGGGCCUUGUACA
rnacentral:ncRNA from 1 species